CACGUUCCUGGCCCUGAGCACUUUUUCAGAAGGAGAACCAUUUGGAGACUUACUCAUGGUGAAAGUGAGUGGAUCACUCAAAUGCCUUGAUGAAUGCUUUACCAGACAUGUUUCCAUCACCUAUGGCUCCUCCAUCCAAGAGGUUAGAUGCAAGUGAGGCUAUGCUUCACAUCCUUGAGUGUAAAGAAGACCCCAACACCUUUAUUCAGUCAAGGCCAUUCUUCAGCCCUGUUGUGAUUGUUGGUGAAACCAGCUGCUUACUGCCAUUGGAACCAUGCCUUUGAUGACCUUCCCAAAUGAGGACAUUUAUGAAAGUGUGAUAUAUCUCAUGGCAUGUUAUUACACAUUUUACCUUACAUAUCCUAAGUGCAUUGUGACAUUUCUGUCUGUGCUGCAGACUGAAGUACUGUCAGAUGCUAUCAAUGACCGUGACGUGACCUCUUCAUAUAGAAAAGCUAUGGCUGUGUGGAAAAAGUUCCUUGCUAAGUAGAAAUGCACCGAACCUUUUUUCAUUCCCAGUCAUGAUUGUGUCUCUUGUAGUACAAAGCAUAACAAACUUCAAAUUUGAUUUCAUCAUUAAUUGUUUGGCAGGGUGUUGGUUUAGUUUGCUGCUUGUCUAUUCAUAAGAUCACAGUAUUUGAUAUAUUGCAUAUGCUGACAUUCUCAUUUUCACAGAGCAAUGGCCUUGCUUUUACAUGUUGUUUUGCCAUACAUGCCUCUGGAUAAAGAAUUUAAGCAGCCAGUCAAUUUGUAGUAUAGUAUACUUUUCUCUGUAAAUUCCAGAGUAUUUUGUCUCAUUUCAAGCCAUUUAAACCAGCAAUGAAUGUUAAAUUCAAGCAAAAUGUCCUACCAUUUUAGAUAAAAGGGCUUAUCUUUU